ensembl:snRNA U6 U6 spliceosomal RNA
GUGCUCACUUAAAGAGCACAUAUACUAAAAUUGGAAGGAUACAGAAAAGAUUAACAUGGCCUCUGUGUAAGGAUGACAUGCAAAUUCAUGAAGAGUUCCAUAUUUUU